GGGAUUUCACUGGGUUGUUGUUGUUAUUGUAGUGAUAGCAGAUGCACAAGCCACCGUGAAAGAUCACCUUUUCAACUUAAAAACUUUUUCCAGAUGGAAAAUAAGGAAUAUGUGAUAGAUUGAUCUUUCAAGGGCGCUUGUACAUCUUAGGGCUUUGUGGUAUUUAGCUAUCCUGUGUCAAGUAUUAAAAUUUUGAUAAUUUUCUAUGUUCAUCUGUUUCCCUAUUGAGAUAUAUAAUUUAAUAAUUAGUUUGUUACUGUUAUAGUUGGUUAUGUCGGUUAGUUAGUAGUUAGUGUAGUAGUUUUUUUGUGUCAUCUCGCAGCGUGUGUAUAUAUACUGUGUAUUGAUAUCAAUGAACGCCUAAGCUUCAUUUCAUCAAUUUCAUUCUUUGUUCUUCCCUUCUAUCACGGUGAGUUCUAGAAGCUUCACCACUUCACCAUUGCAGGUAUGGUCGAGCUCAUUCACACUGAUUCUCAAUGUCAAUCUUGAAAUUGGUUUUGUUUUACGUGUGUCAUACAUUGUUUUGGUGGACUAAGUGUGCGAUUAAAUUUUCAUUACGAGAAUGUUAUUGCAUAAAAGAAUUAGCAAAUAGGCAUGGCUACAUGGAUGCCACAUCCCUGCCCCUGGGGAUAAAAUUAUUUGAUGAAUGUGGAACACUUAAGUCCAUUUCAAGUCCAAAUUCCAUACACCAUAAAUCUUCAAACAUUUGAUUAUCUUUGUCCCCCGUGCAGCAGUGGGGAAUCUUGGACAAUGGGCAACUCCCAUUCCACAAACUAAACGACCAUGCAGAUUGCUGUUGUUGUUUGGUAUAUUGAAUCAUCCAAUUUUUAUAGAUCUAUUCCGCUAUCUUAAUCUAUUUUCAUAUUGAGCCACUUUUUGUGCAAUGUCUUUUCUGCAUACUGCUAUUAUUUGAAUAUUGAGGAAAGCAUGUCUAAUUCGUUGUUAAGCUCCUCGUAAUUUAUUUCUCUGCAAUGAAGAACCUACCACUCUAAUCUGCAGCUAGUCUAAGUCAGACGUGUUGGGGAGUAUAUGUUGUGAGCUACUGCACAAGGGGGAGCAUUCUAUGGCAAAGAUGAAAAAGGAGGUUCUUUAAUCAAGCUCCUAGGAUUGUUCGAACAAGAUGUGGUUAUUUUGUAUUGUUAAUUGUUAUUAUAGCACCUACAGCAUGUAAAGGAUGUUAAAACAAGGUGUUGGAGGUUGUCCAUAUGUUCAGUUGAACCUGGAUAUAUGACUACUGAGAGGGUGUUGCUUCUAUGCUCAAUGGACUAUGAGUGAAGACAAAUGUGGAUCUCAGAGAGGCGAGAGCUUACAUUGGCUGCAGACUUUAUCACUAUGGACCAACCCUCACUGUACCAUCAUCGUCUUCUGCAUUAAAACAUACUGACUCUGGCAUGCAUGUCCAGGUGAGCACUGCAUGAACCCUCUGUGUCGCAUGCAAAGUAGAGGGAGGACUUAGAAGAAAGAUUAUAUGUAUGGAUUGCUUUGUGGAAGAUAGAAUUAUAAUUGUGCAUGGGUUGGUAAUUUUUAAGACGAUAACAGUAUGAAAAGGUGAAGGAACUACUAUACUUUAUGGAGCAAACUCAUUUUAGAGCCUGUUUGGAAUUGAAUUUGGAUGUAGUUGUGUGUAAUUACAUAGUUUGACAUGUUUGUCUGGCCAAGUAAUUACUUGGUCAACAUAGAAUUGAGUGUAAUUACACUCUCUAAUUCUCAAGGGGAGGUGAGAAUUAGUGGUAAUAUGUGUAAUUACAAGGUUAUUUUUUAA